rnacentral:rRNA from 1 species
GAUGAACGCUGGCGGCGUGCCUAAUACAUGCAAGUCGAGCGAACGGACGAGAAGCUUGCUUCUCUGAUGUUAGCGGCGGACGGGUGAGUAACACGUGGAUAACCUACCUAUAAGACUGGGAUAACUUCGGGAAACCGGAGCUAAUACCGGAUAAUAUUUUGAACCGCAUGGUUCAAAAGUGAAAGACGGUCUUGCUGUCACUUAUAGAUGGAUCCGCGCUGCAUUAGCUAGUUGGUAAGGUAACGGCUUACCAAGGCAACGAUGCAUAGCCGACCUGAGAGGGGGAUCGGCCACACGGAAACUGAGACACGGUCCAGACUCCUACGGGAGGCAGCGGUAGGAAAUCUUCCGCAAUGGGGGAAAGCCUGACGGAGAAACGCCGCGUGAGUGAUGAAGGUCUUCGGAUCGUAAAACUCUGUUAUUAGGGAAGAACAUAUGUGUAAGUAACUGUGCACAUCUGGACGGUACCUAAUCAGAAAACCACGGCUAACUACGU